rnacentral:rRNA from 1 species
CCUACGGGAGACAGCAGUGAGGAAUAUUGGUCAAUGGACGAGAGUCUGAACCAGCCAAGUAGCGUGAAGGAUGACUGCCCUAUGGGUUGUAAACUUCUUUUAUAAAGGAAUAAAACGAGGCACGUGUGCCUCUUUGCAUGUACUUUAUGAAUAAGGAUCGGCUAACUCCGUGCCAGCAGCCGCGGUAAUACGGAGGAUCCGAGCGUUAUCCGGAUUUAUUGGGUUUAAAGGGAGCGUAGAUGGGUUGUUAAGUCAGUUGUGAAAGUUUGCGGCUCAACCAUAAAAUUGCAAUUGAUACUGGCAGUCUUGAGUACAGUUGAGGUAGGCGGAAUUCGUGGUGUAGCGGUGAAAUGCUUAGAUAUCACGCAGAACCCCGAUUGCGAAGGCAGCUUACUAAACUGUGACUGACAUUGAUGCUCGAAAGUGUGGGUAUCAAACAGGAUUAGAUACCCCUGUAGUC